GUGGAAAAAAGAUGGAGUGGUUCUUGCUUGAACUGAGACUGAUCCUUCAGUUGACCCUUCAGUUGACUCGAUAAUUAGAGCCAUAGUCACUGAAAGAAGAUGGAGUGGUUCUUGCUUGAACUGAGACUGACCCUUCAGUUGACCCUUCAGUUGACUCGAUAAUUAGAGCCAUAGUCACUGAAAGAAGAUGGAGUGGUUCUUGCUUGAACUGAGACUGACCCUUCAGUUGACCCUUCAGUUGACUCGAUAAUUAGAGCCAUAGUCACUGCCAUCACCCACAAAAAGGACAGAAGGCCUGGAGAUGGGAUUAUCAGACCUACACCAGAUCCUGAUCCAGAGCAGCUUCAAAGGCAAGCCCUUAUGGUACAU